rnacentral:rRNA from 1 species
CCGGCGCACGGGUGAGUAACACGUAUCCAACCUGCCGUCUACUCUUGGACAGCCUUCUGAAAGGAAGAUUAAUACAAGAUGGCAUCAUGAGUCCGCAUGUUCACAUGAUUAAAGGUAUUCCGGUAGACGAUGGGGAUGCGUUCCAUUAGAUAGUAGGCGGGGUAACGGCCCACCUAGCCAACGAUGGAUAGGGGUUCUGAGAGGAAGGUCCCCCACAUUGGAACUGAGACACGGUCCAAACUCCUACGGGAGGCAGCAGUGAGGAAUAUUGGUCAAUGGACGAGAGUCUGAACCAGCCAAGUAGCGUGAAGGAUGACUGCCCUAUGGGUUGUAAACUUCUUUUAUAAAGGAAUAAAGUCGGGUAUGGAUACCCGUUUGCAUGUACUUUAUGAAUAAGGAUCGGCUAACUCCGUGCCAGCAGCCGCGGUAAUACGGAGGAUCCGAGCGUUAUCCGGAUUUAUUGGGUUUAAAGGGAGCGCAGACGGGUCGUUAAGUCAGCUGUGAAAGUUUGGGGCUCAACCUUAAAAUUGCAGUUGAUACUGGCGUCCUUGAGUGCGGUUGAGGUGUGCGGAAUUCGUGGUGUAGCGGUGAAAUGCUUAGAUAUCACGAAGAACCCCGAUUGCGAAGGCAGCUUGCUAAACUGUAACUGACGUUCAUGCUCGAAAGUGUGGGUAUCAAACAGGAUUAGAUACCCUGGUAGUCCACACGGUAAACGAUGGAUACUCGCUGUUGGCGAUAUACUGUCAGCGGCUUAGCGAAAGCGUUAAGUAUCCCACCUGGGGAGUACGCCGGCAACGGUGAAACUCAAAGGAAUUGACGGGGGCCCGCACAAGCGGAGGAACAUGUGGUUUAAUUCGAUGAUACGCGAGGAACCUUACCCGGGCUUAAAUUGCAGACGAAUUACGAGGAAACUUGUAAGCCGCAAGGCGUCUGUGAAGGUGCUGCAUGGUUGUCG